GAUGAACGCUGGCGGCGUGCCUAAUACAUGCAAGUCGAGCGAACAGAUGAGGAGCUUGCUCCUCUGACGUUAGCGGCGGACGGGUGAGUAACACGUGGAUAACCUACCUAUAAGACUGGGAUAACUUCGGGAAACCGGAGCUAAUACCGGAUAAUAUAUUGAACCGCAUGGUUCAAUAGUGAGAGACGGUUUUGCUGUCACUUAUAGAUGGAUCCGCGCCGCAUUAGCUAGUUGGUAAGGUAACGGCUUACCAAGGCAACGAUGCGUAGCCGACCUGAGGGGGUGAUCGGCGACACUGGAAGUGAAACACGGUCCAGAGUCCUACGGGAGGCAGCAGUAGGGAAUCUGCCGCAAUGGGCGAAAGCCUGACGGAGCAACGCCGCGUGAGUGAUGAAGGUCUGCGGAUCGUAAAACUCUGUUAUUAGGGAAGAACAAAUGUGUAAGUAACUAUGCACGUCUUGACGGUACCUAAUCAGAAAGCCACGGCUAACUACGUG
rnacentral:rRNA from 1 species